rnacentral:rRNA from 1 species
UACGGAGGGUGCAAGCGUUAUCCGGAUUUACUGGGUUUAAAGGGUGCGUAGGCGGGCUUUUAAGUCAGUGGGGAAAACUUCGAGCUUAACUCGAAAACUGUCAUUGAUACUAUUAGUCUUGAAUUUAGUUGAGGUUGGCGGAAUGUGUCGUGUAGCGGUGAAAUGCUUAGAUAUGACACAGAACACCGAUUGCGAAGGCAGCUGGCUAAACUAAAAUUGACGCUGAGGCACGAAAGUGUAGGGAUCAAACAGG